AGGUGGUAGCGGUCGGCUCCCCGGCGGCUGGGCUGUCUUCUCCGGCGAGGGGCUCUGGCGGCUAGGGUUAGGGUAUGGGUGCGAAUGAGGUUAUUUAUACCCAUCCGCUUUUGAUUUGGCCGUCCAUCACUUUUGAUCUGGACCGUUCGAUCACGAUUAAAUAGGGAGUGAAUCUGGGCCGUUCAUCGCAAUUCAAUCUUAGCCGUCCGUGCACGAUUCAAUCUGGGUCGUCCGUGCGCACUUUUAAUCUUGAUCAUCUGUGCGUGCGGGAACGAAUCUUAGCCGUUCGAUCGUGCGCACAUAGAUCGCCCACGUGGCUCCCCCCAUGUGGCCUCCCACGUCAGCGCCUCUACCACCUAGCGCGUCUUGGUUGGUCGGGGCUACUGACCGGGCAUCUGACGUGGUGUAACUUUU
rnacentral:lncRNA from 1 species